rnacentral:rRNA from 1 species
CGCGUAGGUGGCUUGUCAGGUCCGAUGUGAAAACCUGGGGCUCAACUCCAGGCCUGCAUUGGAAACCGGCUUGCUAGAGUCUGGGAGAGGAGAGUGGAAUUCCUGGUGUAGCGGUGAAAUGCGUAGAUAUCAGGAGGAACACCGGUAGCGAAGGCGGCUCUCUGGAACAGUACUGACGCUGAGGCGCGAAAGCUAGGGGAGCGAACA